CCGGGAAACUGGGGAUAAUUCCGGAUAACGCACAUAUGCUGGAAUGCUUUAUGCGUGAAAUGGAUUUCGUUCUGCCCAAGGAUGGGUCUGCGGCCCUAUCAGGUAGUAGUGGGUGUAAUGUACCUACUAGCCAACGACGGGUACGGGUUGUGAGAGCAAGAGCCCGGAGAUGGAUUUUGAGACAUGAAUCCAGGCCCUACGGGGCGCAGCAGGCGCGAAAACUUUACAAUGCGGGAAACCGUGAUAAGGGGACACCGAGUGCCAGCAUCAUAUGCUGGCUGUCCAGGUGUGUAAAAUACACCUGUUAGCAAGGGCCGGGCAAGACCGGUGCCAGCCGCCGCGGUAACACCGGCGGCCCGAGUGGUGAUCGUGAUUAUUGGGUCUAAAGGGUCCGUAGCCGGUUUGGUCAGUCCUCCGGGAAAUCUGACAGCUUAACUGUUAGGCUUUCGGAGGAUACUGCCAGACUUGGAACCGGGAGAGGUAAGAGGUACUACAGGGGUAGGAGUGAAAUCUUGUAAUCCCUGUGGGACCACCUGUGGCGAAGGCGUCUUACCAGAACGGGUUCGACGGUGAGGGACGAAAGCUGGGGGCACGAACCGGAUUAGAUACCCGGGUAGUCCCAGCCGUAAACGAUGCUCGCUAGGUGUCAGGCAUGGCGCGACCGUGUCUGGUGCCGCAGGGAAGCCGUGAAGCGAGCCACCUGGGAAGUACGGCCGCAAGGCUGAAACUUAAAGGAAUUGGCGGGGGAGCACAA
rnacentral:rRNA from 1 species